UUGAAAACCACCCCCCCUUGUUCUCUUCUCUGUCGAACCACCACCACCCACCAUCAUUCUCAGCCACCCGCACCCGCACCAAACCUGUCACCGCCUCCGUCUCCGCCCAGAACCGACCGGAAAACACCUCUCAAAUCUCCCAUGUUUCCCCCUGUUUUGUGCAACCACCAUAACCCCCUUUCCCUACUAUUCCGCCGCCCGGAACCACCCCACCACCGGCGCCUCUCCGGCGCGGUACCACGCUGCUGCGUCGACCAUAACUCCGAUCACAUCCCCCCUUGCCUCCCUCACCUCCCUCACCUCCCGCGCCACUUUCUCCUCCUCACUCUCCCCUCCCUGCUUCCUCUCUCCGUCGUGCCCAGCCAUCCAAGCCGCCGUGUCUACGGCUUCUUCUGUUGUGCCUCUGCGCCGCACCGCCGUUAACAAGCCACCACACAGCCAUCGCUUUUCCCUCUCCUCUUUUUCCUCUGUUUUCGAGCCUUCCUCCCCUGCUUCUGUUCUUCGUGGCUUCGUGCCCAGUUUCACGAGAAACAAGUUCCAGUAUUGGAACUUUGUUCCUUUUUACUUCUCAAGCUGCUAAGCCCAAAACUCUUAGGCCCAAAUACCCUUAAAAAUCAGACUCGGAGCUCAGGACGAACGAACCAAGGAAAAAGGCCUAGCAAUCAUGGAAUUGAGGUACUGCGGGGAACGAUGGACACGAGUAGUGGCGAGGAACUUCACUAUUAUAUUAUUCACCUAGUUUAUGCUUAAUGUUUUAAUAGUUUAAUUAAAGACUUUUAGUAAUUUAUGUACUUAUAUUUUGGGAAUAUAAAGGAUUAUUAUAUUAGAUUUGAGGUUUUUAUGGCUUAUGUAUGAUGUUGCCUUGUAACUUCCAAAAGAGAAUUACGGCAGGUAAUGUCCCGACCAAAUUAGGUUAAUUCUGCUGCUAAUUAUGCCUUAAUAAGUGAUUUAGAGGU